CCUACGGGAGGCAGCAGUGAGGAAUAUUGGUCAAUGGGCGCGAGCCUGAACCAGCCAAGUCGCGUGAAGGAUGACUGCCCUCGGGGUUGUAAACUUCUUUUAUAUGGGAGUAAAGUGCAGUAUGUAUACUGCUUUGCAUGUACCUUAUGAAUAAGGAUCGGUAAACUCCGUGCCAACAGCCGGGGUAAUACGGAGGAUCCGAGCGUUAUCCGGAUUUAUGGGGUUUAAAGGGAGCGUAGGGGGGUUGUUAAGUCAGUUGUGAAAGUUUGCGGCAAAACCGUAAAUUGAAGUUGGUACUGGCAGACUUGAGUACAGUAGAGGUAGGCGGAAUUCGUGGUGUAGCGGUGAAAUGCUUAGAUAUCACGAAGAACUCCGAUGGCGAAGGCAGCCUGCUGGACUGUAACUGACGCUGAGGCUCGAAAGUGUGGGUAGCAAACAGGAUUAGAUACCCUGGUAGUC
rnacentral:rRNA from 1 species